rnacentral:rRNA from 1 species
CCCUUAGAUGUCCUGGGCCGCACGCGCGUUACACUGAUGCAUUCAACGAGCUUAUAACCUUGGCCGAGAGGCCUGGGCAAUCUUGUUAACGUGCAUCGUGAUAGGGAUAGAUUAUUGAAAUUAUUAAUCUUGAACGAGGAAUUCCUAGUAAACGCAGAUCAUCAAUCUGCAUUGGUUACGUCCCUGCCCUUUGUACACACCGCCCGUCGCACCUACCGAUUGGAUGGUCCGGUGAAGCCUCGGGAUUGUGGUUCUUGCCGCUUUAUUGUGGCGUGACCGCGAGAACUUGUCUAAACCUUAUCAUCUAGAGGAAGGUGAAGUCGUAACA